UCUUCGGCAAUGGGGGGAACCCUGACCGAGCAACGCCGCGUGAGUGAAGAAGGUUUUCGGAUCGUAAAGCUCCGUUGUAAGAGCAGAACGUGUGUGAGAGUGGAAAGUUCACACAGUGACGGUAACUUACCAGAAAGGGACGGCUAACUACGUGCCAGCAGCCGCGGUAAUACGUAGGUCCCGAGCGUUGUCCGGAUUUAUUGGGCGUAAAGCGAGCGCAGGCGGUUUGAUAAGUCUGAAGUAAAAGGCUGUGGCUUAACCAUAGUAUGCUUUGGAAGCUGUCAAACUUGAGUGCAGAAGGGGAGAGUGGAAUUCCAUGUGUAGCGGUGAAAUGCGUAGAUAUAUGGAGGAACACCGGGGCGAAAGCGGCUCUCUGUCUGUAACUGACGCGAGGCCGAAA
rnacentral:rRNA from 1 species